rnacentral:rRNA from 1 species
UACGUAGGAGGCGAGCGUUGCCCGGAUUUACUGGGCGUAAAGCGCGUGUAGGCGGUUCGAUUAGUCUGCUGUGAAAGCUCCCCGCUUAACGAGGAGAGGUCGGUGGAUACUGUCGGACUUGAGGACGGUAGAGGGGGGUGGAAUUCCCGGUGUAGUGGUGAAAUGCGUAGAUAUCGGGAGGAACACCAGUGGCGAAGGCGGCCCCCUGGGCCGCUCCUGACGCUGAGACGCGAAGGCCAGGGUAGCGAACGGG